GACGAACGCUGGCGGCGUGCCUAAUACAUGCAAGUCGAGCGAGCUUGCCUAGAUGAAUUUGGUGCUUGCACCAAAUGAAACUAGAUACAAGCGAGCGGCGGACGGGUGAGUAACACGUGGGUAACCUGCCCAAGAGACUGGGAUAACACCUGGAAACAGAUGCUAAUACCGGAUAACAACACUAGACGCAUGUCUAGAGUUUAAAAGAUGGUUCUGCUAUCACUCUUGGAUGGACCUGCGGUGCAUUAGCUAGUUGGUAAGGUAACGGCUUACCAAGGCAAUGAUGCAUAGCCGAGUUGAGAGACUGAUCGGCCACAUUGGGACUGAGACACGGCCCAAACUCCUACGGGAGGCAGCAGUAGGGAAUCUUCCACAAUGGACGCAAGUCUGAUGGAGCAACGCCGCGUGGGUGAAGAAGGGUUUCGGCUCGUAAAGCUCUGUUGGUAGUGAAGAAAGAUAGAGG
rnacentral:rRNA from 1 species